UUCAUUUGUUGCAGGAGCAUGUUUAAUUAAUUCACUUUAAACGACCACUUUUUUUCCUUUCUCUUGCUUUCUCAGAGGAUCAUGUGUUCCAUGACAUCGAAGUGUCUUUGGCUCAUUGCUUUGAUGACUUCUUCCCCCUUAGAGUUGAAUAUCUAACUUUUCUCUAUCUACUUCUCCUACUUGUUAUGCAGAAAGCUGCCAUCAAGAAGAUAAAUGUGCAAGCAUCGAGAGAGUUCAUUGUCUAAUUGAAGGUUCUCACGCAUGUUCAUCACUUGACACUGGUGCCCUUGAUAGGAUACUGCAUUGAGGGUUCUCACAAGAUCUCACAAGACAUGAGAAGUAAUGGUUCAGAAUUCAGAUACUUGGACAAUAAACCAUGAUCAGAAUAUACUAAAGGAUGAAGGGAUUUCUCUAAGAAGUGUGUUUUCUAAUACAGGCCAGGGACUAUGAUAUUUAAAUGACUCUUCCAUGCAAAAAUUUAAAUUUUAUGCAUUGAGCUACAUUCUAGCAGGACUACUUCUGCAUUAUAUAUUGACAAUUAAUGUCCAUGUUUGGAAAUGAUAAUUUCUGUCGCCCAGGAAAUGCACCAAUUCUAGAGAAUCAUGGGUUUAAGACUGCCCGACCCUUUGUGGAAAUCUGAGAUGGUCAAAAUUCUGUAAAUUAUUGAAUAAGAUUUUCAUAAAUAUACAGUGCAGAAACAACCAGUUUGUAAAAAAAAAGGUAUGUUCAGAUGGAGCGAAGAAAUGAAUAAAUAGUAUGAUCAUGUCAAGUCAAGGUUUCUAAGUCGAGUGCAAUAGUUUUUUGGUUUCUGUUGUUUAGA